AGAGUUUGAUCAUGGCUCAGAAUCAACGCUGGCGGCGUGCCUAACACAUGCAAGUCGUACGAGAAAGGGUAGCAAUACCUGAGUAAAGUGGCGCACGGGUGAGUAACACGUGAAUGAUCUACCUCCGAGUGGGGAAUAGCUGAGGGAAACCUUAAUUAAUACCGCAUAACACUUACGAGUCAAAGCAAGCAAUUGCGCUUGGAGAGGAGUUCGCGGCCGAUUAGUUAGUUGGCGGGGUAAUGGCCCACCAAGACGAUGAUCGGUAUCCGGCCUGAGAGGGCGCACGGACACACUGGAACUGAAACACGGUCCAGACUCCUACGGGAGGCAGCAGUGGGGAAUUUUGCGCAAUGGGGGAAACCCUGACGCAGCAACGCCGCGUGGAGGAUGAAAUAUCUUGGUAUGUAAACUCCUUUCGAUGGGGAAGAUAAUGACGGUACCCAUAGAAGAAGCCCCGGCUAACUUCGUGCCAGCAGCCGCGGUAAUACGAGGGGGGCAAGCGUUGUUCGGAUUUAUUGGGCGUAAAGGGUGCGUAGGCGGUUUGACAAGUCUUAUGUGAAAUCUAUGGGCUCAACCCAUAGUCUGCAUAAGAAACUGUUGAGCUUGAGUAUGGGAGAGGUGAGUGGAAUUUCCGGUGUAGCGGUGAAAUGCGUAGAUAUCGGAAGGAACACCUGUGGCGAAAGCGGCUCACUGGACCAUAACUGACGCUGAGGCACGAAAGCUAGGGGAGCAAACAGGAUUAGAUACCCUCGUAGUCC
rnacentral:rRNA from 1 species